rnacentral:lncRNA from 1 species
GUGAUCAUCAGCAGGACUGCCCAUCAGGGCAGGGGGAGGGUCCUCGUGGGGGUGGGUCUGUCUGAAGAGGGCAGGACAGACAGCCCAGCAGGCAGGAGAGCCAUCAGAGCAGUGACUGACGUGUUUGGACAGAGGGGGUGAGGAGAGGAUUUGGGAAUGAGGAAACAUGGAAUAGGAAAUCUAGGAACGCAUUCAGAAGCUACUUAUGGAAAUAAGAACUCCUACUUCAAAGACGUGGGAUGUGAGCCAGAAACAGGCCUGAACACCUUUUCCGCCUGUGGAUGUGCCUCCCCAUCCCACUAUGGAACCAGGUCCUUAUACAGCUGACCCUUCCAGACGCCCGAGGUCAUGGGCCACAGGAACCGUUUCCCCAUCCAGCCACACGCCCUUCUCCACUUGUGGCUUUUUUUUUUUUUUUUACUUAAGUGCAAAAUAAAUUUUAAAAACUUAAGUUUCUGCCUUUGAUUCUUAUUUAUCUCAGAUAAGAAAUCCCUGGACAGGGCAUGCCUCUCCUGACAGGUAAGGACAUUCACGCAGGCCUGACAGUUUACAGCGUGUAGCCAGGGAGGUAGAAAUGAGUGUGAUUCACACCUGAGGAGGGAGCAGACGGGAGGGGGAUGGAGCCUCAGAGAGGCCAGGUGACCUUCAC